rnacentral:rRNA from 1 species
GACGGAGGAGGCCAGCGUUGUUCGGAAUUACUGGGCGUAAAGCGCACGCAGGCGGCGCUUCAAGUCGGAGGUGAAAUCCCGGGGCUCAACCCCGGAACUGCCUCCGAUACUGGAGUGCUUGAACGAGGGAGAGGAGAGCGGAAUUCCCAGUGUAGAGGUGAAAUUCGUAGAUAUUGGGAAGAACACCGGUGGCGAAGGCGGCUCUCUGGCCCUCUGUUGACGCUCAUGUGCGAAAGCGUGGGGAGCAAACAGG